UUUAUCAAAAUUAACAAGUUUUUGUUUUCCACUCCAGAACAUGGAAAAUAAUCUUAACGAGUCACAAGAAACCUAGGAUUGAAGCAACUCAUAAUAUCACAAAAGAAGCUAUUCCAUCUUAAACAUUUCUGGAAGAAUUUCUCACCUCAAUUUACCAACUCAGUAAUUUUCACUUUACCAGUAGCUCAUGAGAAUUUUAAUUAAAAAAUGAGCUUUGGAUAGCAGAUGUAAGAUUUUGAUGAAACAUCUCAGUAUCAUGGACUUGGGUAUCUCCAUUUUUACUAAAACUUUUCAAGGACACGUUUAAACGUGACACAAAUCCCUGGUGAACUCACAACUUUUCUGUUUAUAAUGGCAAUAAAAAUCAAGAUUAAAAAGAUAUAGCACAUAUUUAUAGCUAUACUUCGAACAUUCUGGGAAGAACAUCUUGACACUGAAUGUUGCCGGCACAUUUUUGCAUGGGAUGAACAAAGUAUGUCACAGAUCCUGCAUGUAAGCAAGAGAAAGAAAAGAGAGAGACAGAGACAGAGAGAGAGCGAGACAGAGAGGGAGAUGAUAGUUGGGAAAUGUAAGUAUCUAAUAUCACAGAACAGUUAUUUAUUAAAAUGGUAUUAAUUUUUCUACCCUU
rnacentral:lncRNA from 1 species